GCCAGGCAUGGUGGCACAUGCCUGUAACCCCAGCAGCUCAGGAGGCUGAGGCAGGAGGAUUGCAAGUCUAAGGUCAGCCUCAGCAACUUAGUGAAGUCCUAAGCAUCUUAGCGAGACUCUGUCUCAA
rnacentral:sRNA from 1 species